GGGAAGAUGUAGAGUGGUCUAAGGCGCCACGUUCAGGUCGUGGUCCAGAAAUGGGCGUGGGUUCGAACCCACUCUUCCUG
rnacentral:tRNA from 2 species